UUGAGCAUUAGGUGACCAUUAACCUAUCAGAUGUAUUUGAUAUAUCCAAUUAACCAAUCAGAUGCAUACUACGUACUGUACGCCAAUGAGAGGUAGCGGUAGUGGAAGUCAAAUCUGAACCUCUCUAGUAUAUAUCGCGUCGGGGCUGGGAUAGAUAAUCUUCCGGAAACUUUCAUCGGAAAUAUUUGAUAAAUACCUGGGUGAAGAUCCAUUGCGGAAGUCCCUUAAGCAUUUAAAAAUAGUGUACCGUAUAUUUACAGUACCUGAAAUGGCAGUGUACAGUUCUGAACAACUGGACAUUCACAUUGACAAUAAUCUUUGUUGAGCACUUUCUUAUGAUCCAGGGUACACAUUCUCUGGGUUACUGCGCACUCGCAUUUGCAUUCUGAGUGCCCUUCCACGUUCAAACUAAGCAUCUGAACACCGGUUGUGCUGCGUUUACUCAAAUGGUGAAUUGGAUCUAAAAAUUGUACGA